rnacentral:rRNA from 1 species
AGUGAACGCUGGCGGUAGGCCUAACACAUGCAAGUCGAACGGCAGCACAGGAGAGCUUGCUCUCUGGGUGGCGAGUGGCGGACGGGUGAGGAAUACAUCGGAAUCUACUCUGUCGUGGGGGAUAACGUAGGGAAACUUACGCUAAUACCGCAUACGACCUACGGGUGAAAGCAGGGGACCUUCGGGCCUUGCGCGAUUGAAUGAGCCGAUGUCGGAUUAGCUAGUUGGCGGGGUAAAGGCCCACCAAGGCGACGAUCCGUAGCUGGUCUGAGAGGAUGAUCAGCCACACUGGAACUGAGACACGGUCCAGACGCCUACGGGAGGAAGCAGUGGGGAAUAUUGGACAAUGGGCGCAAGCCUGAUCCAGCCAUACCGCGUGGGUGAAGAAGGCCUUCGGGUUGUAAAGCCCUUUUGUUGGGAAAGAAAUCCAGCUGGCUAAUACCCGGUUGGGAUGACGGUACCCAAAGAAUAAGCACCGGCUAACUUCGUGCCAGCAGCCGCCGUAA